UACGAAGGGUGCAAGCGUUAAUCGGAAUUACUGGGCGUAAAGCGCGCAUAGGUGGUUCAGUAAGUUGGAAGUGAAAUCCCCGGGCUCAACCUGGGAACUGCUUUCAAAACUGCUGAGCUAGAGUACGGUAGAGGGUGGUGGAAUUUCCUGUGUAGCGGUGAAAUGCGUAGAUAUAGGAAGGAACACCAGUGGCGAAGGCGACCACCUGGACUGAUACUGACACUGAGGUGCGAAAGCGUGGGGAGCAAACAGG
rnacentral:rRNA from 1 species